CUUAACACCUUUCAUCGACGUGCCCUCCGGCGGCUGCUGCGCAUCAGGUGGCAGGACCGGAUUCCAAACACCGCAGUCCUCCAACAAGCCGGCCUCCUAAGCAUCCAAUGCACCUUGAUGAAGAGGAGGCUCCGCUGGAUCGGCCAUACCUUCCGCAUGGACCCCCACCGGCUGCCGCGGGAAAUCCUCUAUGGCGAGCUGCUUGAGGGACGCCGGAGUGUGGCCCGGCCCCUGCUGCGCUACAAGGACACUGCCAAACGUGACCUAAAGGCGGUCCGGGUGGAUCCCAACAGAUGGGAGAGUGCAGCAGCAGACCGAGCCACCUGGCGCAACACCAUCCGCACAGGGGUCGCCGAGGCUGCGGCGGAGGAGCAGGACCGGGCCUCACAGAAGCGGGCAGCGAGAAAGUGCCGCGCAGCUGCUCCACGCACCACCCCACCAUCCUCAACAUUAAUCUGCGUGAAAUGCCAGCGGGAAUGCCACUCAAGAAUAAGGCUCUUCAGCCACUCGCGCUCAUGCGUCCAGUACAGGACCUAAUCCCCCCCUACGCGUCGACCAUCGCCUUUCGAGACGAGGAUGCUAUAUGUAGAAAUUUCUCGAAUUUCGAAAAACUUCUGGAUGUUUUGGCAUAACAGGUUAUUGUGUGCUUUGUACAUUAAUUGGGCGAUUUUAAAGUCCACCAGGUCCUAAAAUUUCAUCGUAUUUAAUUUGAUAAAUAGAGGAUUUGUGGGUUCCGUAUAUUUUGAUCUAUUAAUAAUUCGAAUUGCUUUUUUUUUGUAGUUUGAGAAUAGGGAGUGUGUUUGUUUUGCAGGCAUUUCCCCAUAUUUCCACACAGUAGGUCAUAUAUGGUAAUAAUAAUGAAGUGUAUAACGUGUACAAAGAGCUCUUAUUUAGCACUUCCUUGGUUUUGUAGAGGAUCCCUACGGUUUUGGCUAUUUCUCUUUUUAGGUUAUCGAUAUGUGGCUUCCAACAUAGUUUUGAGUCUAUUACUAAUCCGAUAAACUAUAAUUUUAACUUGGUGUUUGAAGACACAGGCAUAAUUGAAAAGCAGAGUCACGAGAAUAAUGAAUAUUUCUUUGAGAAUCAAUAUUUCACCAUGGUUUUCUCGAUUUUCACACACAUUGUCCAGGUUGUUGUAUAUUUUGUAUUUGCUUUUAUUUGUUUCACUCUGCUAUCUGCAGCUUCCUGAGCAUUGCAAAUAAGAAAGUUCAGUGGCCUAAACUGGAAAUAAAUCAAUAAACAAAUAAGCCCUGUAUUUUAUGCGGAACUUAAAAGAUGAAAAUAGAAGUGAAUAAAUGUGUUGCAAGGAUGAGGCGAUAUCGACAGCAAUAUAGUAGGGGCAGUCGACAGCAUGAAAAGUUCCUUUGAAAAUUUCUAAGUACUUAAAGGUGAAAUAUUUUGAAUGUGAAAUUGUUGCAAGUCAAGAUAUGAAUGGGGAGCAGGUCUGUUUGUUGGGAUUCUUGAUGUGACUGAGACACAGUCAUGUUGCGUCAAUAAAAGUAAUGAUGGUUUGAAAAAGUAAAGUUACAUUUGUGGCCAUGUAUCAACACAUUUAGACUUCAGACUUUUAGUCGGCUACAUUUACGUAUUGUUUUUGCUGUCAAAAUGAGCACUGGGAACAGGGCAUGGCUGACAAACUCAAGCAUGCCAAUUAUAAGAGAGAAGACAAUUCAGCCGGAUGAGUUACAUACCAAGCAAACGAUCAUAAUUGCCGUCACUGCGACAAGGUCACAUUCCAGUUCUGACACUGUGGAGGACUCAAGAUGAGAGGUGCGUCAUCAUUUAUGAGCUAAAUGUCCCUGAGCGUCUUUAAAUAA